AUGAAUUCAAACCAUGCAGCUGCGUAGGCUGCUUCCAAAUCAAUAAUAAAUUAACAGAAAUGAGUGGCGGCCUCUAGCUCUCCUUCAAGCACCAUUUUCAUUCAAUAAAAAUCUCCAACCCUUCUAUUUAGAAGAAAGAAAUUGCUGCCAACCACAUUUGCUUCAGCGUUUUCAAUCAACCCUUAUCCAAAUACAAAGCCAUGGUUCAAAGGAAAUAGCAAUAUAAAAAACUGUUCCANCAGCUAGC
rnacentral:lncRNA from 1 species